rnacentral:rRNA from 1 species
UACGAAGGGGGCUAGCGUUGUUCGGAUUUACUGGGCGUAAAGGGCGCGUAGGCGGCCACCGCAAGUCGACUGUGAAAUCUCCGGGCUUAACUCGGAAAGGUCAGCCGAUACUGCGGGGCUAGAGUGCAGAAGGGGCAACUGGAAUUCUCGGCGUAGCGGUGAAAUGCGUAGAUAUCGAGAGGAACACCUGUGGCGAAGGCGGCUGUCUGGUCCGGUUCUGACGCUGAGGCGCGAAAGCGUGGGGAGCAAACAGG